rnacentral:rRNA from 1 species
UACGGGGGAUGCAAGCGUUAUCCGGAAUCAUUGGGCGUAAAGCGCCUGUAGGUUGUUUACAAAGUCUGUUGUUAAAGACUAGGGCUUAACCCUAGAAAAGCAAUGGAAACUCGUAGACUAGAGUAUGGCAGGGGUAGAGGGAAUUUCUAGUGUAGCGGUGAAAUGCGUAGAUAUUAGAAAGAACACCGGUGGCGAAAGCGCUCUACUGGACCAUUACUGACACUCAGAGGCGAAAGCUAGGGUAGCAAAAGGGAUUAGAUACCCCUGUAGUCCUAGCCGUAAACGAUGGAUACUACAUGUUGUGCUUGUACAGUAUGGUAGCUAACGCGUUAAGUAUCCCGCCUGGGGAGUACGCUCGCAAGGGUG